rnacentral:lncRNA from 1 species
AUGCUCCCUGGGACUGCAGCAAGCGAGUUGUCAUGGCAGCGUGAUGCUCUGUGCAUGGGCUCACUGCAGCAGGUUCCCCUCCUUGCUCUGUGCACCUUCACUUUAUGCCAUGCCAUCCAGCAUGCCUGGGGUUCAAGAGCCAAAUCCUAUGUGAGGCUUUUGAAGUAUUAUGAAGAAUAUGAAGUUCAGUGUUUUACCAUCAGAACCCAAAGACCACUGUCAGUCCAUAUGGAACCUUACGAGCCUUUUCUGGAGUAUCCUUCAACUCCUGGCCUAGGAACUCCAUUUCAACCUAACCUGGGGCCAUCAGUCCCUGCCCCACCGAUGCAGAAGGAUGCUGAUCUCCAGCUCUGCCACAGUACUAUCCUGCCUGGACAUGUGUUACACUGAGACCUUCUCAGACUUCUGAGACAUCUAAGAUAAACAGUGCUUGUUGUAGAAAUUCUUACAACAUUAUACACAAUGCAUUUUCUCUGUGAGGAGGCCUUUGAAAAACAAACUUUCUAUUAUUGUCCUUUAGACUGGAGUAGUAGGGAAAACUGUGCUUGUUUACUUUCUGAUGAGUUCUGCACAUAUCUUCAUAGAUGCCAGUUGUCCUGUUUCUAUGAGCCUUUGUCCAGGAAGAAAAUCAGGGAAGCCAAAUGAAGUUACAUGGUUCGACUGUUACCAGAAGAGGAGAAAGAGAAGAGUGUGGUUGUCUGCUAUAUAUGGAAGCCUGGCGGGGUGUCAGCAGAAGGCUGAGGACAGAGAUGGUGGUAACAAGCCACCUAUUUAAGAAAAGGAAAAUGUGUCCACGUGGCAAAGAUCUGUUCUGUGGAAAUCAAAAGACAAGGUUUAUACUGUACAUCUCCCUUGAGAUUUGAGCUUCAAGGUUCGAGCUUCAAGGUUCAAGUUCCUCAGGCUGAGGAAAUCAACAUGGGCUACUGAAGGUAUUCCUGUGCUUGGGAGUCUGGCACUCUGUUAUCUGGGUUCCUCUGCCUAGGGGAGUACAAGCUUCCCAGUGUGGCAGACUGCCACGCUCAGGAUGUUAGUCUUACACACGACGCAUGGGCUAUGGGAACAGAUGGCCUUACCAACUACAUCCUAUGUCUGCAUUGGCAGAGAUGUUUGUACUAUCAAUAGCUCCUGGGAAAUUAAGCUGUUAGCGAGCAAAAUGUGGCUUCUCUAUUGUUC